GUACAACAGAAGUUUUUUGGGCCUGUCCGAUCGACCAAUGGACCGGUGGGCUCUCGCGUGCUCCAUCACUAUCCUGAUCCUUGUGAUCUUCCUGCCGUUGCGUGCGGCCGACGACCGCCUCGUCCCCGGCAAGCCGCUCUCCCCUGGCGCUACCAUCGUCUCCGACGACGGCGCCUUCGCCCUGGGUUUCUUCAGCCCCUCCAACUCCACUACUCCGGCAAGGCUGUACGUCGGCAUAUGGUACAACGGCAUCCCCGAGCUCACCGUGGUGUGGGUCGCCAACCGAGAAACCCCGGCCACAAACACUACUAACUCCUCCUCCGCGCCCACGCUCUCCCUCACCGACACCUCCAGCCUCGUCCUCUCCGACGGCGGCCGCGUCCUUUGGACGACGACGCCUGAGACCGACGUGGCCGCAGCUCCGGCGGCGACGGCGGUGCUCCUGAACAGCGGCAACCUGGUCCUCCGCUCGGCAAACGGCACCACGCUGUGGCAGAGCUUCGACCACCCGACGGACACGUUCCUGCCGGGCAUGAAGAUCCGGAUGAGGUACAGGACGCGCGCCGGCGACCGCCUGGUGUCCUGGAACGCGCCCGGCGACCCUUCGCCGGGGCGCUUCUCCUACGGCGGCGACCCGGCCACGUCCCUCCAGGUGUUCCUCUGGGAUGGCGCGCGCCCGGUCGCCCGCAGCGCGCCGUGGAACGGGUACCUGGUGAAGAGCGAGCGCCGGUACCAGCCGCCACCGGCGGGCGCGGCCAAGGACAACGCCAGCAGCGCCGCGGCCAUCGUCGUCUACCUGGCAAUCGUCGACGGAGACGACGAGAUCUACCUCACCUACACGCUCUCCGACGGCGCCGGGCGCACCAGGUACGUGGUGACGCACUCCGGCACUUACCAGCUCCAGAGCUGGAGCGCCGCCUCGUCAUCGUGGGCCGUCCUCGCGCACUGGCCGUCCACGGAAUGCAGCCGCUACGGCCACUGCGGCCCGUACGGGUACUGCGACGAGACGGCGGCGGCGCCAUCGUCCCCGACGUGCGCGUGCCUCGAAGGCUUCGAGCCGGCGAGCGCAGGGGAGUGGGGCCAGGGGAAGUUCUCGGAGGGGUGCCGGCGGAAGGAACCGCUGCUUGGGUGCGGCAACGACGGCGGCUUCUUGGCGUUGCCGGGGAUGAAGUCACCCGACGGGUUCGCGGUGGUCGGCGGGGACCGGGGCGGCACGCUGGAGGAGUGCGCGGCGGAGUGCGGCCGCAACUGCUCGUGCGUGGCGUACGCGUACGCCAACCUGGGCAGCAGCGACGCCGGGAAGUCGCCGCGGCGAAACUUGACGAGGUGCCUCGUGUGGGCCGGCGGGCUGAUUGACGACGGGAAGGUCGGCGCCGAGGCGCUCGGCAGCUACACGCUCUAUCUCCGCAUUGCAGGCCUGGACGCAACGGAUGGUAAACACAGCACCACGGUUAAGAUUUCUCUGCCAGUUUUGGGCGGUACUAUUGUGAUCCUCAUGUGCAUUUUCCUGGCAUGGCUAAAAUUGCAAGGGAAGAACAGGAAAAAGAGAAAGCAGAAGAUGAUAGACAUUGGAUAGUAUGAGUAUCUCUUAUGAACUUGGGAAAGGAAACCCUCCACGCGAUCAUGAAUUCCCAUUUGUAAGAUUUGAGGAAAUUGCCAUAGCAACGCACAACUUCUCUGAAACGUGUGUAAUUGGACAAGGAGGCUUUGGAAAAGUAUACAAGGGAAUGUUAGGUGGCCAAGAAGUUGCUGUCAAGAGGCUAAGCAAGGAUUCACAGCAAGGGAUAAAGGAAUUCAAGAAUGAAGUAAUUCUAAUUGCCAAAUUGCAACACAGAAACUUGGUUCGGCUUCUUGGAUGUUGUGGGGAGGGAGAUGAAAAGUUGUUGAUUUACGAGUAUCUGCCUAACAAGAGCUUAGAUGCUACCAUUUUUGAUGAUUCAAGAAAAUUGUUGUUGGAUUGGGCGACGCGGUUUAAUAUAAUCAAAGGGGUUGCAAGGGGACUUCUUUACCUCCACCAAGAUUCAAGAUUGACCAUAAUUCACAGAGAUCUAAAAGCUGGAAAUGUUUUGUUAGAUGCAGAUAUGAAACCCAAGAUAGCGGAUUUUGGUAUGGCGAGAAUCUUCGGUGACAACCAGCAAAAUGCAAAUACUCAACGCGUUGUUGGAACAUAUGGCUACAUGACUCCUGAGUAUGCAAUGGAAGGCAUAUUCUCUACCAAGUCCGACAUCUAUAGCUUCGGUGUGUUACUAUUGGAGGUUGUAACCGGCAAACGGAGAAGCUCCGCUACCAUGGACUACCCUAACCUCAUAAUCUAUUCUUGGAGUAUGUGGAAGGAAGGAAAGACGAAGGAAUUGCUGGACUCAUCUAUCAUGGACACUUCUUCAUCGGAUGAAGUGUUGCUUUGCAUCCACGUAGCUCUCUUAUGUGUCCAGGAAAAUCCAGAUGAUAGGCCGGCCAUGUCAGCCGUAGUGUUUGUCUUGGAGAACGGAAGCACAACAUUGCCGGUGCCUAAUCGCCCUGCAUACUUUGCGCGGCGGAGCGCUGAAAUGGAGCAAAUCGGAGUUGAUAUUCAGAACUCUGUGAACAAUUUUACUCUUACUGAGAUACAAGGGCGAUGAAAUAAUAAUCAUACAAUUAUAUAGUUGUAUAUAUUUAUCAGAAAAGAUAUGCAGAACAGUAUCGGUCCAAAAAA